rnacentral:rRNA from 1 species
UGGGGAAUCUUGCGCAAUGGGCGAAAGCCUGACGCAGCCAUGCCGCGUGAAUGAUGAAGGUCUUAGGAUUGUAAAGUUCUUUAGCCUGUGACGAUGAUGACGGUAACAGGAGAAUAAGCCCCGGCUAACUUCGUGCCAGCAGCCGCGGUAAUACGAAGGGGGCUAGCGUUGUUCGGAAUUACUGGGCGUAAAGCGCGCGUAGGCGGUUUUACAAGCCAGAGGUGAAAUGCCUGAGCUUAACUUGGGAAUUGCCUUUGGAACUGUAUGACUUUGAGGACGAGAGAGGUGAGUGGAAUUCCCAGUGUAGAGGUGAAAUUCGUAGAUAUUGGGAAGAACACCGGUGGCGAAGGCGGCUCACUGGCUCGUUUCUGACGCUGCAGCGCGAAAGCGUGGGGAUCAAACAGG